rnacentral:rRNA from 1 species
UGGCAGGUCAGCAUACUGCCGUGAAUACGUUCCCGGGCCUUGUACACACCGCCCGUCACACCAUGAGAGUUGGGAAUACCCGAAGCCUGUGAGCUAACGUAAGAGGCAGCAGUCGAAGGUAGAAUCAAUGAUUGGGGUGAAGUCGUAACAAGGUAAC